GAUGAACGCUGGCGGCGUGCCUAAUACAUGCAAGUCGAGCGAAAGGACGCGGAGCUUGCUUCUCGGAUGUUAGCGGCGGACGGGUGAGUAACACGUGGAUCACCUACUUAUAAGACUGGGAUAACUUCGGGAAACCGGAGCUAAUACCGGAUGAUAUUUUGAACCGCAUGGUUCAAAAGUGAAAGACGGUCUUGCUGGUACUUAUCGCUGGAUCCGCGCUGCAUUAGCUAGUUGUUAAGGUAACCGGUUUCUAGGGCAACGAUGCAUAUGCGACCUGAGAGGCUGAUCGGCCACACGGGAGCUGAACCACGGCCCAGGCUCCUGCGGGAGGCAGCAGUAGGCAACCUGCCGCAAUGGGCGAAAACCUUACAGAGCAACCCCGCGUGAGUGAUGACAAUCUUCGGAUCGUAAAACUCUGUUAUUAGUUAAGAACAUAUUUCGAAGUAACUGAGCACAGCUUGACGGUACUUAAUCAGAAAGCCACGGCUAACUACGUG
rnacentral:rRNA from 1 species